CCCAGGCCUACAGCAUGCAGUCCCAGGAGAGUGGUGUUCACUACAGCAGGUGGGACAGCAGCAGCUGGGAUGAAGUCAGCAUGACUACCAUGCCCAGCUCAGAGGAGGCCGCAUGCUACAGGAGGAUCUCCCAGAAGCUGCGUUCUGGUGAGCUGGGGAUAGCCAUGAAGAUGCUGGGUUGGAGUAGCGCUCUCCUGGCUCAUUUCAUCUUGGGCUACACCACUGGCUACUAUGUGCACAAGUGCAAAGAAAUGCUGCUCCAUUCCCACCCCUGGGGAUUCCCUCCCAUAUCUCAGGACUGA